UACGAAGGGUGCAAGCGUUAAUCGGAAUUACUGGGCGUAAAGCGUGCGCAGACGGUUGCGUAAGUCAGAUGUGAAAGCCCCGGGCUCAACCUGGGAAUUGCAUUUGAGACUGCGUAGCUAGGGUGCGGAAGAGGGAAGCGGAAUUUCCGGUGUAGCGGUGAAAUGCGUAGAUAUCGGAAGGAACACCAGUGGCGAAGGCGGGACUCUGGGCCGAUACUGACGCUGAGGAGCGAAAAGCGUGGGGGAGCGAACAGG
rnacentral:rRNA from 1 species